AAGCGUGGGUAGCGAACGGGAUUAGAUACCCCGGUAGUCCACGCCGUAAACGAUGCAUACUAGGUGUUGGCUUUUCGGAGCCAGUGCUGCAGUUAACGCAUUAAGUAUGCCACCUGGGGAGUACGUCGGCAACGAUGAAACUCAAAGGAAUUGACGGGGAUCCGCACAAGCGGUGGAGCAUGUGGCUUAAUUCGAUGCAACGCGAGGAACCUUACCUGGGCUAAAUUCACAGUGCUAUCUCUGGAAACAGGGAGUCCCUUCGGGGCGCUAUGGAAGGUGCUGCAUGGCUGUCGUCAGCUCGUGUCGUGAG
rnacentral:rRNA from 1 species